CGGCGAGCGAAAAGAAAAUAGUUCAGCACUAAGUCACUUUGUCUUUAUGGCAAAUGUGAGAUGCAGUGUAUGGAAUGUCAAAUUUCUAGUAUGAGAAAUUAACGAUUUAAGUCCUUCUUAAAUGAGGCCAUUUACCCAAAGAGGGUGCCAGGCCCGUAUAACGUUAAUGAUUACUAGAUGGCAUUUCCAAAGAGUCGUGUUGCUUGAUAGUGCAGCACUAAGUGGGUGGUAAACUCCAUCUAAAACUAAAUAUAACCAUGAGACCGAUAGUAAACAAGUACCGUGAGGGAAAGUUGAAAAGAACUCUGAAUAGAGAGUUAAAUAGUACGUGAAACUGCUUAGAGGUUAAGCCCGAUGAACCUGAAUAUCCGUUAUGGAAAAUUCAUCAUUAUGAUUUUAAUAUUAAUAAUAUUAUAAUAAUGGUGUGCAUUUUUUCUAUAAAGGACAUUGUAAUCUAUUAACAUUCAUAUUUAUCAUAAGAUCAUUAGAUUAUGUUUAUUCAAAUUAUUUUGCUUGCAUUUUAAUAUCGAAUAAAUUCUUUUGAUUUGAUAAAGCGUUGAUAGAUUUAUUAUAUACAGUGCUUAAAUAUUUAUAUUUUAUAAUAUCAUAUUAAUCAAUGAUUUUUAUGUUCAUUAUAUGCACUUGUAUGAUU
rnacentral:rRNA from 1 species